CAGCCGCCGCGGGAAUACGAAGGGGGCUAGCGUUGCUCGGAAUUACUGGGCGUAAAGGGAGCGUAGGCGGAUCGUUAAGUUGGGGGUGAAAGCCCGGGGCUCAACCUCGGAAUUGCCUUCAAUACUGGCGAUCUUGAGUAUGGAAGAGGUAUGUGGAACUCCAAGUGUAGAGGUGGAAUUCGUAGAUAUUCGGAAGAACACCAGUGGCGAAGGCGACAUACUGGUCCAUUACUGACGCUGAGGCUCGAAAGCGUGGGGAGCAAACAGGAUUAGAUACCCCGGUAGUCCCUGUCUCUUAUAC
rnacentral:rRNA from 1 species